UGGGGAAUCUUCCGCAAUGGACGAAAGUCUGACGGAGCAACGCCGCGUGAGUGAUGACGGCCUUCGGGUUGUAAAGCUCUGUUAAUCGGGACGAAAGGUCUUCUUGCGAAUAGUUAGAAGAAUUGACGGUACCGGAAUAGAAAGCCACGGCUAACUACGUGCCAGCAGCCGCGGUAAUACGUAGGUGGCAAGCGUUGUCCGGAAUUAUUGGGCGUAAAGCGCGCGCAGGCGGAUUGGUCAGUCUGUCUUAAAAGUUCGGGGCUUAAUCCCGUGAUGGGAUGGAAACUGCCAAUCUAGAGUAUCGGAGAGGAAAGUGGAAUUCCUAGUGUAGCGGUGAAAUGCGUAGAUAUUAGGAAGAACACCAGUGGCGAAGGCGACUUUCUGGACGAAAACUGACGCUGAGGCGCGAAAGCCAGGGGAGCGAACGGGAUUAGAUACCCCGGUAGUCCUGGCCGUAAACGAUGGGUACUAGGUGUAGGAGGUAUCGACCCCUUCUGUGCCGGAGUUAACGCAAUAAGUACCCCGCCUGGGGAGUACGACCGCAAGGUUG
rnacentral:rRNA from 1 species